rnacentral:rRNA from 1 species
UACGUAGGGGGCUAGCGUUGUCCGGAAUCAUUGGGCGUAAAGAGCGUGUAGGCGGCCAUGCAGGUCCGUUGUGAAAACUCGAGGCUCAACCUCGAGACGUCGGUGGAAACCGCAUGGCUAGAGUCCGGAAGAGGAGAGUGGAAUUCCUGGUGUAGCGGUGAAAUGCGCAGAUAUCAGGAGGAACACCAAUGGCGAAGGCAGCACUCGUGGGACGUGACUGACGCUGAGACGCGAAAGCGUGGGGAGCAAACAGG